GUUCGGUCUGAAUUUACAGAGUCUCCUUCACUUUCGAUCUUCAGCCUCAGGUGUUUAUGCACAUUUAAUUAUGCUCGGCCAAGCUUUUUGGUGGGCACCAGUCUCGUCACCACGCGAUACACAGUACGCGGUAAUAGCUAGGGAAACUAUGCAGUCUAUUUUCGAGCUUGAGGAUUCGCUGUUGUCGGGCGAACCACGGGGUCUUCCUCUCUUUGCAUGCAAAGAAAGGUCUUUUGCUAGAAUACCAACUGUUUUCCUUUCCCGACCGCAGAAAGGUUUUAAGUGUAUUUUUAGAAGCGGUUCCACGAUUCAAAUUUUACUAAUCCUCCUCUUUUUCGUUAUUUUUCAGGGAGAUGCUUAAUUUUCUGCCACCUCUUUAUGGGCUUAAAAUAGAAGCUUAAAUAAUUUGAUAUAAUGCCUAACUCUAAAUAUGAGGAGUACACAUUUUUAAAGGAUCAUUGAUUAUUCUGAGAGUGAUGUUACAGGAAUUGAAUUGAAUCUGUAAAAAUUAAAUGGAAAUAUUUGUAUGAUAUUGUGUGAAGAAGACAAUAUAUUACAAGGGGUUUAAAAGACCAGUUACCAUCUUCGUGUCGUACUCUACUGUAUCGACUGAAUUUCACCACAGCGCUGUCAGUAGCGGGAAUUAAAAAUUCAAAAUACUUUCUAUGCUCAGAAGAAAACUUUCCCUCUUACAGAAAGAAGGAAUACUCAUUUUUAUUUAAAGAUAGCUUACUUUGCUUAUGGCAAGUGUAUUAUGAAAUAUAGUAUUAAUUAAUUAUAUGUUUCAUAAGUAUACAAUAUGCAACUUGUUAAAGAAGAGUCUAAGAAAGGAAUGUAAUAUCAACAUGAAAUUGUAUUGGAUGUAAGAUUGUACAAAAUUAUUUUGUUACAUGUGAAUGGACAUGUCAAUAUAAAUAUCUAAAAUGUAUGUUAUAUGUGGUCAUCGACAGAUGUCUCCACCAAUCCAUAUAAGCAUCUAACGUUGAUAAUACAGAACACUUCACAAUGCGAAUACAAAAAUAGCAACUAUAAAAUCUUCAGAAUGAAAUUCUUACACAGCACGAAUAUAAAAAAGGGUCAUUUUGUCAAACAAAAAAUAUUGUAACAGCUAUCAUUACAAUUCUCAUAGAAUUUAAUGAACAUUUUGUAAGUCAUGAAACGCAGAAGAGCGUUAUUGUAAAGAAAUGGGACAAGAGGAUCCUAAAGCAGAGGGACUAUUGUGAGUCUGUGAAAAUUCCACGGAUAUCGUUCCCUCCUUCAAAUCGAAUUGACAAUUAAGUAUUUAGGGUUGCUGCGGGUCGCGUGUCAGGAAGAGUCAUCUUCGCCAGCAUGAUUGUGACGAGAAGAUGAAUUACAAUAAAUAAAUGUAUUACAUACAUUUAGUAUCAAAUACACUUUGCACGUACAUGUGUGGUGGUGUUCAGAGGUGGAUGCAAGAAGAAUUAUAUGGUAAAAUAAAAUUCUUAUUUGCUAAAUUGUAAUAACUGCAUUCCUUUUCAUUCGCUUCUUUUUGAAAACGAUUUUAGGGGAGAUUAACCGUUCAUCAAUACACGUAUGCCACAAUUCUGGCGAUAUAUGGGCGCAGUUCGGUCUUUCCCCGGAACACAUAGAAUUCUGUGUAAUCAGAUCUAAAGACGUCCCACGUAAAUUCCCACCCGCAGUCAUGUUAUAUUAUAUACGUGGAUAAUCUUAUGCGGGAUGAUAGACUGAGUUUUUACCUCUCACCCUCUGUAUCAUUGAACUCUAUGAGAAACUGAAUUUCUCGUUCUCACGAAACAUGGGGGUAUAGGUCCUCUAAUUGGCCGUCAAUGUACUUCGAGUACGAAUUUCUGUGGAAUAUUUGCUUCGCGUGAGAAUCCGAUAAAAGUAUCACACAAGUAUAUUUUUGUUUAGGAAAAAUGAAGCUGGUGGUACAUUUUUUAUUUUACUACAGGUAGAAAGAUAUAUUUUUACAAUAAAUACACGAGAAUGAUCUGAAGGAUGUUAUAAUAAUAAGGAAAUAACUGGAGGAAAAAGAAGUAUAAAUUAAUGUAUCAUUACGAGAAACACCCUGUACGCGAAUAGAGGACACGAUGGCGACGGAUGUGACAACGUUAGGUUAAUAAGGAUGCAACGUCAUCGGGUUGCGACGUUACAUUUUCUCCUUUGAAUCACGAUCUCCAAGACCAUGAUUAAAAAUCAGCUUAAUUACCGUUUUCAUUAAAUGUUCACGACGUUUUCAUGAAGACAAAAUCUCAACAACCACUGUACUAGAUUCCCCAUAAUAUUCAAAACAACUUAAAUCUUUGAAAUUUUUAAUUUGACAUAUCUUUAAAAUUCAAUCCAUAAAUUUUCAAACCUAAUCUACUUUGCUCCACAGGAUUCGCUCAUGGGACUACACCUGUUGCAUCCCUGAAAGGAAUAUCCAGCACAAUUGAAAGAAUCCACCUUUUCCAGAGGCGAAUAAACUCAGAGACAGAUGCGUGGACUGUACCCCGGAGGAAGUCCUGAGAAUGCGUUCACCGGCGAUAUCUGCGCGAAGAGAGAAACGUAACGUGAGUAUAGCCGGCGAAUAGCGGAGGUUCCCCGUCGCCUUCGCGCAAUUACGUCCAAUUGAACUAAUUCAGUCCAAUUGACGUUAACAGGCUCAAUUGGUCGGUCCUGCUAGUGUUCACUGGGGCCACCACGGCAAUACUAUCCGGUCGGCGCAUACCUACGACGUAAAAAAGCGG